GCAGUCAUGGGGUAGUGGUAACCUGGGUCGUUGCCAUUCCCAACUCUCGAGAAGUAUCGACCCGCCCCGAGUUCGAUUCUCGGUGGCUGCA